rnacentral:rRNA from 1 species
GAUGAACGCUAGCGGCAGGCUUAAUACAUGCAAGUCGAGGGGCAGCAUGGUUGUAGCAAUACAACUGAUGGCGACCGGCAAACGGGUGCGGAACACGUACGCAAUCUACCCAAAACUGAUGAAUAGCCCUCCGAAAGGAGGAUUAAUACAUCGUAACUUAAUGAAGUGGCAUCACUUUAUUAAUAUAGCUCCGGCGGUUUUGGAUGAGCGUGCGCCNGAUUAGGUAGUUGGCGGGGUAACGGCCCACCAAGCCUGCGAUCAGUAACUGGUGUGAGAGCACGACCAGUCACACGGGCACUGAGACACGGGCCCGACUCCUACGGGAGGCAGCAGUAAGGAAUAUUGGUCAAUGGACGCAAGUCUGAACCAGCCAUGCCGCGUGAAGGAUGAAGGUCCUCUGAUUG